rnacentral:tRNA from 1 species
GUUCUUGUAGUUGAAUGACAACGAUGGUUUUUCAUAUCAUUGGUCGUGGUGGAAUUCCACGUGAGAAUA